CAGUCGCCGCGGGAAUACAGAGGGUGCGAGCGUUAAUCGGAUUUACUGGGCGUAAAGCGUGCGUAGGCGGCUUCUUAAGUCGGAUGUGAAAUCCCUGAGCUUAACUUAGGAAUUGCAUUCGAUACUGGGAAGCUAGAGUAUGGGAGAGGAUGGUAGAAUUCCAGGUGUAGCGGUGAAAUGCGUAGAGAUCUGGAGGAAUACCGAUGGCGAAGGCAGCCAUCUGGCCUAAUACUGACGCUGAGGUACGAAAGCAUGGGGAGCAAACAGGAUUAGAUACCCCUAUAGUCCCUGUCUCUUAUAC
rnacentral:rRNA from 1 species